UCUCGUACGAUCACCGAAGUUAAACAAUGUUGAGCCUGGUCAGUACCUAAGCGGGUGACCGCUUGGGAAUACCCGGUGCUAUA